rnacentral:misc_RNA from 1 species
AAUUGAACCAACUCAAUUGCCAAUACCACAGCGGAAAAUCUUGAUUUCUAUUUACAAAAUUUUAAAGUCAAAGUCAACCAAUUCAAAAGUUGAUGCCAAUUACAAGAAUCCCUAAUUUCUUUUACAGUAAACCUAACUUAAGUUAUUAUACAUAGCUUAAGCUUAAGUGAAACACACUUACCAAGUUCAAACCUACAGAAAUACACUACCCAGAAUACUAAAUUACAAA